GCCCGGCUAGCUCAAUCGGUAGAGCGUGAGACUCUUACUAAGAUCAUCAUGAGGAUCAUCAUGAGACCCUCACGAUUGUGAAAAGAACCGAUCUCAAGGUUGUGGGUUCGACCCCCACGUCGGGCU